GAUGAAGAACGCAGCGAAAUGCGAUAAGUAGUGUGAAUUGCAGAAUUCAGUGAAUCAUCGAAUCUUUGAACGCACAUUGCGCCUUCUAGUAUUCUGGGAGGCAUGCCUGUUUGAGCGUCAUUACAACCCUCAAGCUUUGCUUGGUAUUGGACAUUGCCAGUUUCUGGCAGGUCUUAAAAUCAGUGGCGGUGCCAUUUGGCUUCAAGCGUAGUAAUUCUUCUCGCUUUGGAGAUCCAGGUGGUUACUUGCCAAUAACCCCCAAUUUUUUCAGGUUGACCUCGGAUCAGGUAGGGAUACCCGCUGAACUUAAGCAUAUCAAUAAGCGGAGGA
rnacentral:misc_RNA from 1 species